rfam:Gossypium raimondii chromosome 3, whole genome shotgun sequence.
AAACCAUGGUGUGGGCCUAUUUGUAUUAGCUUUUAAAAUGCUCCUAGGCUUUGUGAAAGCUUUCUCCUUCUAGCUGUUUGAUUAUGGCGAUCUCUAUCCUUAGUUG